AUUGAACGCUGGCGGCAUGCCUUACACAUGCAAGUCGAACGGCAGCACGGGAGCAAUCCUGGUGGCGAGUGGCGAACGGGUGAGUAAUAUAUCGGAACGUGCCCAGUCGUGGGGAUAACGUAGCGAAAGCUACGCUAAUACCGCAUACGAUCUACGGAUGAAAGCGGGGGAUCGCAAGACCUCGCGCGAUUGGAGCGGCCGAUAUCAGAUUAGGUAGUUGGUGAGGUAAAGGCUCACCAAGCCGACGAUCUGUAGCUGGUCUGAGAGGACGACCAGCCACACUGGGACUGAGACACGGCCCAGACUCCUACGGGAGGCAGCAGUGGGGAAUUUUGGACAAUGGGCGCAAGCCUGAUCCAGCAAUGCCGCGUGCAGGAUGAAGGCCUU
rnacentral:rRNA from 1 species